GUGGGCUUGCCAAGCUGGGUCUUUACGGGAAUAGCCAGGGCACCACCCACCCACACACACCUCCGGCCUCCAGGCUUAGCCCUCCUGGAGAGAGGAUGCAGCCCAUCCCCACUCACCAUCCGGUCUCCAACAUGCCUAGAAGCUGGCAUCAGCCCUGAUGCCUGCAGGGUGGGCAGUGUGAGCUCCCCAGGGGCCUCUGUACCAGGAGUCUGAAGGCCAGAAAUGCCACUCGGCCCCUCCUCACUGCAAAGGGACUGGAAGGUGUGGUCUCCCAGAGGUCCAGGAAGGAAAGAAGCCCUGGGAAUGUUUCCCACAAGGCCCAGCUUCUUCUCAAGGCAACUGUGGAUAAGGAAAGAAGGCAGGCAAGGCUGCUGUGCUGGAAAGAAGGUGGAGUUCUCCAGAAGCAGACUGCAGAGAACGGAGUGCAGGAAGAUUCCCAAGGAGAGCCUCGGGAUGAACACCUAUGGAGAAGGUGGCAGUGGGAUCAGGCAGAUGGAGAGGUUGGCUGCGACGCAGUCACAACCAGGCCUCCACUGAGCCCACAGGGAACUCUGAAACUGGGAUGGCCCUUCAGAGUUAUCCCCAGCCAGAGCAUGGACCAGGCCUUUAUAUCUUCCUCUUUGAUGAGCUUCUCAGGUGCAUGUAGGACACCUGGAUUCUCAGGGCCUGGAGAGAAGGACUAAGUAGGAUGACUUGGAGAAAGCUCUGCAUUCAAAUCUUGGCUCUGCCACUUAUCUGCUGUGUCUGUUUAGGUUAGUACCAAACUUUCUGAGUCUCGGUUUCUUCAUUUGUAAAAUGGCAAUAAUAUCCACCCCACAGGGUUUUUAAACAGAUCAAAGAAGUAUAGAACAUGUUCUGACACAGUCCAAUCUUUUGUAAAUGGUGCUGGUAAUGGGUGACCAUAGUAAUUGUUGCUAUCUCAGCAGCCACAGAGGCAAGAUGAUCCCCUAGUAUCUAUGCUAGAACUCCCAGAAGGGAGCUAUGCCAAAGUCUAGGUCAAAAGCUAUUAGGUAUAUGGACUGCUGGGCCCCAGGGGGUCUGAGAGAGUAGCUACACAUCUUCUUAAAUCCCAGGCCAGUGUCCUGCUGGGAUCAAGGACACUGCUGUAGAGACGUUAUCAGGAACAAAGGACAAUACUGGGAAAAGCGGUUUCAGCUGCUCUUGCUAAAAGAACACAUGGCAUCCUCCAUGUGCCAGGCACGGAGAGGGUGGCGCCGUGGGCAGGUGGGACAGUCCCUGUGCAGGCUGCGGGCAUCUUCAUAGUGCUGUCCUGUCCAUGGGGUGUGACCACAUGACAGAUGAGAGGGGCUUAGAUUUCUCUGUCUCCUCUUUCAGUCGACAAGUAGAAAGCUACCUACCUGGGACCCCUUCCAGGCACACGGGGAGUGCAAAAUGUAACACCAAAAUCAAGGCCGAGGGUGGAUGCUGGAAUUCUGACCUUCCCUUUGGGGGCUGGAUUGGGAACUUCCCCCGGGGGCUGGAGAAUUUGAUGGUGCUGAGAUUGCUUGUUCUUGCCGCUCUCCCAGAGAGGAGGUCCCAUAUGGGUUCUGGAAUCAGAAAAGCCUACUUCCUGAGUUUGAAUCCCAUCUUCAUCCUUCAGCUGUGGGACCCUGGACAAGAACCAACAUCUUCCAGCAGAGAUCACCAAGAACACACUUGCAGUUGAAUAAGCUGGGUUUAUUCAUUACUGCAGUGAGAGAGAAUACACACCAGGGUGUCUCAGUAAGAGGGUGUUAGACAGAACCUGUGAUAGAAUUGGGGUUGGUUUGAGUGAUUUGGGGGAGGGUAAGUGUAUUAGUCCAUUUUCACGCUGCUGAUAAAGACAUA